ACAUGAUAAAUGCAUGAUUGGGGAAAAAAACAAUGAUACUAUUUUAUUGACCACUGUUCCUUCUUACUAUUACUUUGUCAUUUUUACUAUAAGCUAAAUAGGAGAGUGAAAGCUGGAAAACGCAAACCAUGCAUACAAAUAUCCUAAACUCAAGUUUUUAAGGAUUGUGUUAAGAUUAAUAUAAGUGUAUAUAACCAGGACAUAAAAUAACACACAGUUCAC